AUUGAACGCUGGCGGCAGGCCUAACACAUGCAAGUCGGACGGUAGCACAGGGGAGCCUGCUCCUCGGGUGACGAGUGGCGGACGGGUGAGUAAUGUCUGGGGAUCUGCCCGAUAGAGGGGGAUAACCACUGGAAACGGUGGCUAAUACCGCAUAAUGUCGCAAGACCAAAGAGGGGGACCUUCGGGCCUCUCACUAUCGGGUGAACCCAGAUGGGAUUAGCUAGUAGGCAGGGUAACGGCCCACCUAGGCGACGAUCCCUAGCUGGUCUGAGAGGAUGACCAGCCACACUGGAACUGAGACACGGUCCAGACUCCUACGGGAGGCAGCAGUGGGGAAUAUUGCACAAUGGGCGCAAGCCUGAUGCAGCCAUGCCGCGUGUAUGAAGAAGGCCUUCGGGUUGUAAAGUACUUUCAGCGGGGAGGAAGGCGAUGUGGUUAAUAACCGCGUCGAUUGACGUUACCCGCAGAAGAAGCACCGGCUAACUCCGUGCCAGCCGCCGCAGUAA
rnacentral:rRNA from 1 species